rnacentral:rRNA from 1 species
GUUUGAUCAUGGCUCAGGACGAACGCUGGCGGCGUGCCUAAUACAUGCAAGUCGAGCGGACAGAUGGGAGCUUGCUCCCUGAUGUUAGCGGCGGACGGGUGAGUAACACGUGGGUAACCUGCCUGUAAGACUGGGAUAACUCCGGGAAACCGGGGCUAAUACCGGAUGGUUGUCUGAACCGCAUGGUUCAGACAUAAAAGGUGGCUUCGGCUACCACUUACAGAUGGACCCGCGGCGCAUUAGCUAGUUGGUGAGGUAACGGCUCACCAAGGCGACGAUGCGUAGCCGACCUGAGAGGGUGAUCGGCCACACUGGGACUGAGACACGGCCCAGACUCCUACGGGAGGCAGCAGUAGGGAAUCUUCCGCAAUGGACGAAAGUCUGACGGAGCAACGCCGCGUGAGUGAUGAAGGUUUUCGGAUCGUAAAGCUCUGUUGUUAGGGAAGAACAAGUGCCGUUCAAAUAGGGCGGCACCUUGACGGUACCUAACCAGAAAGCCACGGCUAACUACGUGCCAGCAGCCGCGGUAAUACGUAGGUGGCAAGCGUUGUCCGGAAUUAUUGGGCGUAAAGGGCUCGCAGGCGGUUUCUUAAGUCUGAUGUGAAAGCCCCCGGCUCAACCGGGGAGGGUCAUUGGAAACUGGGGAACUUGAGUGCAGAAGAGGAGAGUGGAAUUCCACGUGUAGCGGUGAAAUGCGUGAGAUGUGGAGGAACACCAGUGGCGAAGGCGACUCUCUGGUCUUAACUGACGCU